rnacentral:rRNA from 1 species
GCUAAACGCGAAGAACCUUACCUGGCCUUGACAUGUCUGGAAUCCGGAGAGAUCUGGGAGUGCCGCAAGGAACCAGAACACAGGUGCUGCAUGGCUGUCGUCAGCUCGUGUCGUGAGAUGUUGGGUUAAGUCCCGCAACGAGCGCAACCCUUGUCCUUAGUUGCCAUCAUUCAGUUGGGAACUCUAAGGAGACUGCCGGUGACAAACCGGAGGAAGGUGGGGAUGACGUCAAGUCCUCAUGGCCCUUACGGCCAGGGCUACACACGUACUACAAUGGUCGGUACAGAGGGUUGCCAAACCGCAAGGUGGAGCCAAUCCCAGAAAGCCGAUCCCAGUCCGGAUCGGAGUCUGCAACUCGACUCCGUGAAGUCGGAAUCGCUAGUAAUCGCGGAUCAGCUAUGCCGCGGUGAAUACGUUCCCGGGUCUUGUACACACCG